CUACCGCUGUCGAGAGGCGGCGGGAAGGGUCGACAGAAGUCAGCAGAGGGCAUAGUAGGUCCUUCGACCGGACUGAAGGCC
rfam:Syntrophobacter fumaroxidans MPOB, complete genome.